UACGUAGGGGCUAGCGUUAUCCGGAAUUACUGGGCGUAAAGGGUGCGUAGGUGGUUUCUUAAGUCAGAGGUGAAAGGCUACGGCUCAACCGUAGUAAGCCUUUGAAACUGGGAAACUUGAGUGCAGGAGAGGAGAGUGGAAUUCCUAGUGUAGCGGUGAAAUGCGUAGAUAUUAGGAGGAACACCAGUGGCGAAGGCGACUUACUGGACUGUAACUGACGCUGAGGCGCGAAAGCGUGGGGAGCAAACAGGAUUAGAUACCCGGGUAGUCCCUGAGCGGGCUGG
rnacentral:rRNA from 1 species